CCCAUCUCCAAAAUGGCGGAGGCAGCUUCAACCUCACCUCUCGCGAGGUGUUCGUCCUACUGUCUCUGAUUAGCCCUGAGGUCAGAGGGUUCCCAAGCCUCUGGAAGUCCCGGAGGAAGAGAGGUAAGAACUUCUGCACCGACUCAGAGUGAAAAAGAGGUGGCAGAGCCAAGGGGAAGUCUCGGGCAAGGUCCUUGGCAGAAGAACCCUCCUGCCCUGGGAAGGAGGAGUAAUAAAUGAAACCACCAAAACGCGAUGAAAAUGAAUUCAGUGACUUCCUCAAGUACGCGGGCCUCUCACUGUUGUGGCCUCUCCCGUUGUGAGCGCAGGCUCCGGAUGCACAGGCUCAGCGGCCAUGGCUCACAGGCCCAGCCGCUCCGCGGCAUGAGGGAUCUUCCCGGACCGGGGCACGAACCCGUGUCCCCUGCAUCGGCAGGCGGACUCUCAACCACUGCGCCAUCAGGGAAGCCCUAUCAUCUCAAUUUCUUAUGCAAGGGGAGUGAUAACAUCUACUCCUCAUACAAAUGCACAGAUUUAUAUCAC